CUUCAUGUGACCCCACUCUCUUCAUUCCAUUCUGCUCUGAGUGUCCCAUGAUCAGUCAUACCUAAGGACUUGCAUUAUUCUUUCAGUGUUUUUUCAUAGCCCUCAUUCCUUUAACAAAUAACUUCCUUUUCAUACAAAACCCCUUUCUGCAUUAUCUGGCUAACAAACUUCUCUUCCCUGAAAAUUCAGCUCUUCUUUGUUUGGAAAAAAGAAGAAGGAAGAGGAGAAAAAGAAGGAGGAGGAAGAGGAGAGAAAAAGGAGGGGGAGAGGGAAGAAAAUAAAGACAAAAAGGAGGUGAACAAACUAAUGCUCAGAAAGGUGAAUGUGAAUUUCUCCAAGUUCCUUUGGUUGCAAGCAACAGAAACCAAAUAAAGUGAGUAUAAACUAACUAGAAAAAUUCGUCGGCUGGGCGCGGUGGCUCAAGCCUGUAAUCCCAGCACUUUGGGAGGCCAAGACAGGUGGAUCAUGAGGUCGAGAGAUCGAG
rnacentral:lncRNA from 13 species